UUCCGUCAUGUGCUUCUUCAUUGAUAGU
rnacentral:piRNA from 1 species